CUGGAGUGUUGCCUGAAGGCAGUUUUGGAAAAUGGGACGGAAAUGGGACUUUGCCAGUGUGGCAGGCACUUAAAGUCACCGUGGCCCAUCUUAUGGGACCAGGUCUUUUGGUUCAGUAGCUUGGAUUCCCAGGUCUGUCACUUUCCCAACUGUGGCUUUGGGCAGAAGCUGCAGGGAAGGAUGGAAGCUCAGAGAGACCAGGGCCUGAGCUUUAGGUCCAGGCCAGGGAAGCAAGUGAGACCCAAGUUUGGGCAUGGGGCCUUCUCUAUCCCCAGUGAUGCUGACAGCACCUCCACCAGAGCCCUGUCCUCAGAGGGGCAGCGGCAGGGAGGACAAUAUGAGGAGCAGGAAGAGAGCGAGAGCCACACACAAGGACAAGGAAGGCAUUCACUUUUGACCUCCAUCCUGGGGGCUGCCAGUGGAAGGGCGGAGCCCCACCCUGGGGUGCCUGAGCCAGGGAAGAGAUGCCGUCAGUGUUAACGACGGAGGCACACGAAGGCCAUGAACACUGUCUCCCUUGCCACCACCCCCUCCCAGAGGCACCUCAGGAGCUGGGGAAAGGCUGCUUUCUUUUUAUCUCUCCAAGAGCUUGAACUGAAAGUGGAGGAAUGGAGAUCAGACUAAGAAAGGACUUCCAGGAAGGGAGAGGUUGAGACACUGGAAUGGGGAACCCAUGGAGUGUACCUCUCUUCCUCUGUGGUGAUUAGCUGCAGUCUCAGCAAGCCCCGCAGGCCAUGCAGUUGACCCCUCAUCACGUGAUGAGAAGUCCCCCCCCCCAACAACUCGGCCAGCCCUUGCUGAGGACAUCUCAGAAUGAGCAAGUCAUGAGUUCCUCAAACAGCUCACUUUGCUCCCUUGAUUGGUCAGUGCCUGACUCAUUUGCAGAUGUGCCCCCAGACUCACAAGGACG